rnacentral:rRNA from 1 species
AUUGAACGCUGGCGGCAUGCUUUACACAUGCAAGUCGAACGGUAACAGGCCGCAAGGUGCUGACGAGUGGCGAACGGGUGAGUAAUGCAUCGGAACGUGCCCAGUCGUGGGGGAUAACUACUCGAAAGAGUAGCUAAUACCUCAUACGAUCUAUGGAUGAAAGCGGGGGACCGUAAGGCCUCGCGCGAUUGUAGCGGCCGAUGUCAGAUUAGGUAGUUGGUGGGGUAAAGGCUCACCAAGCCAACGAUCUGUAGCUGGUCUGAGAGGACGACCAGCCACACUGGGACUGAGACACGGCCCAGACUCCUACGGGAGGCAGCAGUGGGGAAUUUUGGACAAUGGGCGCAAGCCUGAUCCAGCAAUGCCGCGUGCAGGAAGAAGGCCUUCGGGUUGUAAACUGCUUUUGUACGGAACGAAACGGCUCUGGUUAAUACCCGGGGCUAAUGACGGUACCGUAAGAAUAAGCACCGGCUAACUACGUG